rnacentral:rRNA from 1 species
UACGUAGGGGGCAAGCGUUGUCCGGAAUCAUUGGGCGUAAAGCGCACGCAGGCGGUCGAUUAAGUUUGGAGUGACAGUUGGUGGCUUAACUGCCAAAGUGCUUCGAAAACUGAUCGACUUGAGGGCUUCAGAGGGACACGGAAUUCCGGGUGGAGUGGUGAAAUGCGUAGAGAUCCGGAGGAACACCGAAGGCGAAGGCAGUGUCCUGGGGAGUGCCUGACGCUCAGGUGCGAAAGCCAGGGGAGCGAACGGG